GUGCAUAUCAAUAAGCGGAGGAAAAGAAACCAACAGGGAUUGCCCUAGUAACGGCGAGUGAAGCGGCAAUAGCUCAAAUUUGAAAUCUGGCCCUCGCGGUCCGAGUUGUAAUUUGUAGAGGAUGCUUUUGGUGCGGUGCCUUCCGAGUUCCCUGGAACGGGACGCCAGAGAGGGUGAGAGCCCCGUACGGUUGGACGCCUAACCUAUAUAUAGCUCCUUCGACGAGUCGAGUAGUUUGGGAAUGCUGCUCUAAAUGGGAGGUAAAUUUCUUCUAAAGCUAAAUACCGGCCAGAGACCGAUAGCGCACAAGUAGAGUGAUCGAAAGAUGAAAAGCACUUUGAAAAGAGGGUUAAAUAGCACGUGAAAUUGUUGAAAGGGAAGCGUUUGCGACCAGACCUUUUCCAGGGGGAUCAACCGGUGUUCUCACCGGUGCACUUCCCCUGGUUUAGGCCAGCAUCGGUUCUUUGAGGGGGAUAAAGGCAGGGGGAACGUAGCUCUUUCGGGAGUGUUAUAGCCCCCUGCGUAAUACCCCUCGGGGGACCGAGGACCGCGCUCUGCAAGGAUGCUGGCGUAAUGGUCGUCAACGACCCGUCUUGAAAACACGGACAAA
rnacentral:rRNA from 1 species